rnacentral:rRNA from 1 species
GCGGACGGGUGAGUAACACGUGGAUAACCUACCUAUAAGACUGGGAUAACUUCGGGAAACCGGAGCUAAUACCGGAUAAUAUUUUGAACCGCAUGGUUCAAAAGUGAAAGACGGUCUUGCUGUCACUUAUAGAUGGAUCCGCGCUGCAUUAGCUAGUUGGUAAGGUAACGGCUUACCAAGGCAACGAUGCAUAGCCGACCUGAGAGGGUGAUCGGCCACACUGGAACUGAGACACGGUCCAGACUCCUACGGGAGGCAGCAGUAGGGAAUCUUCCGCAAUGGGCGAAAGCCUGACGGAGCAACGCCGCGUGAGUGAUGAAGGUCUUCGGAUCGUAAAACUCUGUUAUUAGGGAAGAACAUAUGUGUAAGUAACUGUGCACAUCUUGACGGUACCUAAUCAGAAAGCCACGGCUAACUACGUGCCAGCAGCCGCGGUAAUACGUAGGUGGCAAGCGUUAUCCGGAAUUAUUGGGCGUAAAGCGCGCGUAGGCGGUUUUUUAAGUCUGAUGUGAAAGCCCACGGCUCAACCGUGGAGGGUCAUUGGAAACUGGAAAACUUGAGUGCAGAAGAGGAAAGUGGAAUUCCAUGUGUAGCGGUGAAAUGCGCAGAGAUAUGGAGGAACACCAGUGGCGAAGGCGACUUUCUGGUCUGUAACUGACGCUGAUGUGCGAAAGCGUGGGGAUCAAACAGGAUUAGAUACCCUGGUAGUCCACGCCGUAAACGAUGAGUGCUAAGUGUUAGGGGGUUUCCGCCCCUUAGUGCUGCAGCUAACGCAUUAAGCACUCCGCCUGGGGAGUACGACCGCAAGGUUGAAACUCAAAGGAAUUGACGGGGACCCGCACAAGCGGUGGAGCAUGUGGUUUAAUUCGAAGCAACGCGAAGAACCUUACCAAAUCUUGACAUCCUUUGACAACUCUAGAGAUAGAGCCUUCCCCUUCGGGGG